rnacentral:lncRNA from 1 species
CUGAUGAGGGGCAUAGAACUGCUUCUGCUUAAGUCAUGAGUGAGUGGGGCUGGAUGGGAAUGGCAGCCCAGCAGCAUCCACAGGUGGGAGAAGCAGCAUCCACAGGUGGGAAGAGCAGCAUCCACAGGUGGGAGGAGCAGCAUUCACAGGUGGGACAGCAGCAUCCACAGGUGGGAGGAGCAGCAUCCACAGGUGGGAGGCGUACCAUGCACAGGUGGGCUGACACUUCCAGAGGCUCAGGUGCUGACAGAUAUCUGUCCUGUAGGGCCUUCCCAAAUCUGAUUAAAACUUGUCUGGAAGACACAAAUCUUAUUAAACUGCAAGGACAAAAGUAAAAACAAAAUAAUAAUUAGGAAAGUGUCACUAGAGAGGACAUUAAAUUCCGCAGGAGUUGUCCCCAGUCCCGAUGAAUUUAGCUGCUGAGGAAG